rnacentral:misc_RNA from 1 species
AUAGGGAAAUUAUAUUUCCCAAUAUUUCCCUAUAUUUCUCUUCAUGAACCUAAAAUAUUUCUCUUCAAUUUUGAGUGAAAUGGAGAGAAGCGAAGAGAAUAGUACCAUUUAUAUUAAAAUUACUUAUAUACGCUUAACAUCAUAUAAUAACAAAAUCAUAAAUUCAUGGCAACUAAGUAAUUUUAUUAGGAGGGAAAUUUCAUUUCUCCUCAAUUUUAGUAAAAUAUCCAAACAAUAGAAAAGAAAUUUAAUUUAUCUUCUUUUCUUUUCUCUUCAUUUUCUCUCUUUAAUUUCUCUUCAUUUCUCCUGCCAAGUUAAGGAUCCAAACA